CAGCAAUGGCGUGGUGUAUUUCGUCGUUGGCAGUAAUGUCAAGGCGCGAGCUAUGCCACUAGUAAACUGAUCCAAACAGAUCAAACCAUCACUUGUAAUUUUACUCAGUUCAAUUUUGAAAAAAUUAUUAGGCUGUUGAAUAGAACCCAACCUUCAAGAAAUCGAAAUGGAGCAACGAUACUCAAACGAAAAUAGAUCAGAUUCGGAAUCGGAGACUGAUAGAGACGAAAAAGGUUCGCAACGAAACGAAGAAGAAUUGCAGAACAAACUUGAUAUGCUAGAAAGUGGGGAAAAGAAAGACUUCAGAGGAAUUAGAAAAUAUUAAAAAACAAGCAGUAGCUAAAGAGUUGGCAAGAAAAAAAAAAGAUGAAAAUCCUGAGUUAGAAAAUUUGCGUAAAAUUGUGGAAAAUUUAGUCAGAAAAUAAUAUUUUGAAGGACGAACUGACCGCAAAAAACGAAUUAUUUCAAGAAAUUGAAUCAAGUUAUGAAACUGAACAUAAAAAAAAUAAAAAACUUGUCAAUAGGAGCGAGCGCAGCGCACAUGAAUCAAUGUCAACAACGAGUGAGAGUGAGCAAGAAGCAUCAAAUGGUUUAUCGAAAACAAAAUUCGUUCCUAAGCAAAAAUACCACCAUCAUUCUCAACAAGGAGAAAGACUAAACAAUUAUAAUCGUCAAGGCCAGAAAUUUUACCAGCGCAGCACUGGACGUCAAAAUGAUGGUAAACCGUAUAAAUAUCGUAGCCUGAACAGCAAAGUACGCGGAAUGGUUUACCAAUGUUUGAAGGAGCACAAUAGCGGUCGCCAAGGUUGAAAAAAAAAAAAAUUCUGCAGUAAAAAAUAUAUUUUGUAUGU